rnacentral:lncRNA from 1 species
CUUAGAGGAAACAAAACGUACUUUUCAAAAUGUCAGGAUAAACUCUAAACCUGAGAUUUAGAAUCUGUCAUCAGUUAUCAUGACAGCUCAGAUUGUUGCUUUUUAUUUCUAACCCAAGUCCAGAAUUUAUUGGAGAGAAUAUAAGAUGAUUUUGGUUUAAUGCUGCAGUAUUUGGGAUUUCUAGUCUUUGAUCUCUGGUUUGAUUUCCCUUCCUCUGGGGAGUGCAGAUGAGUGACCUGUUCUACCAUACAGAUGGAGUGAACAGAUUUUUCAGUUUCAUGUUCAUUCUUUGGUCAUAAAUUCCUGUUGAUACGGGCUUGUCAAUCAUAUUCCUAGACUCUGAGAAAAACAGUAAUUUA